rnacentral:lncRNA from 1 species
AAAUAUGCGUGAUAUAUUUGCCACUGGAGCACGGGAGCAAUCAAUUUAUCAAUUUCAUAUAGUGAUGCAUAAUCAUUAGUUCUCAACUGAUAAUUGUCUCAAACAGUUUUUCAGUUUUGGUAUUUUGUUUUUAUUUAUAUUUUAUUUUUAAACGAAAAUGUUAGACUUUCUUUCCGCAUUUUUUUCUUUCAAUUCAUUUGUUUGAAUAAUCCAUAAUAAAAUAGAACUCAACAUCAGUAGUUACAUUGUAUGCAGCCAAACUAGGUGGAGGGCAGUAGAACAGAAAAUAAUCUCCAUUGUGUAUAUGCAAUAACUCAUAUAUUGAAGCGUAAAACAACGACAGUCAUGCUCGCUUUUCGCCCCUUUCGUUUAUUCUCAAUUUAUUGUUUUACUGAUCUCUUUUGUUAAAUAAAGUUUUUUUCAUCUACAACUUUCCGCAUUUUUUUCUUUCAAUUCAUUUGUUUGAAUAAUCAAUAAUAAAAUAGAACUCAACAUCAGUAGUUACAUUGUAUGCAGCCAAACUAGGUGGAGGGCAGUAGAACAGAAAAUAAUCUCCAUUGUGUAUAUGCAAUAACUCAUAUAUUGAAACGUAAAGCAACGACAGUCAUGCUCGCUUUUCGGCCCAUUUCGUUUAUUCUCAAUUUAUUGUUUUACUGAUCUCUUUUGUUAAAUAAAGUUUUUUUCAUCUACAACUGCAAAAGGCGCAGCAUAUGUGUGAAAAUCAGCCAUGUGACUUAUUUGAAGAUUCAUGUAACCUUUGUUGUUGUUUAGAUAUUUUAUUCGAAGUUCGUAUAUCCUUUCAACCAUUUAUUUAGAUGUUUGUUUAACGUAUAGAUAGCGCGAAACUCUCACUGCACUAUGCAUCGGAUAUACGACAUUUUUAUUUCGACUAAACGAGGCUGCAAAUUUAUACUAGCUAAACGGUCGCACCCAAUUUUAGCAAAGAUAUACUGUCGGACGGGAGAAGUCCAGAGAUGUGAAUAUUUCCAUACCCAUAUCAAUCCUUAUGUUUUGAAAAAGAUUUAAAGGUAUACAUUAAUACGACAGCAACCCAACGACCCAUAUAAUUCAAAACACUAAGAGUCAACAUACAGAUUUUUGUUAUAGCUAGAAGCCUAUAAAGAAUAAAAAGCCCGAA